GCUCAGCAACUUCACCCACAGCAACCAUGACUUUGAUCAGCGUCUUCAUCUGCACACUGGCCCUCUGGACUCAAGGAUCCAGAGGUCAGGUGACUGUGACUCAGACUCCUUCAGUGCAAACUGUUGCUCCAGGAAACACAGUCACCAUCAACUGCAAAUUCAGCACUGCUGUUUAUGAUGACUGUGGCCCAUCUGGUGUCUCUUAUGACUGUCUCGCCUGGUACCUGCAGAAACCUGGAGAAGCUCCUAAACUCCUGAUCAAGUGGGCUACUACUUUACAGUCAGGGAUUCCAGCUCGUUUCAGCGGCAGUGGAUCGAAUACUGACUUCACUCUGACCAUCAGUGGAGUCCAGACUGAAGAUGCAGGAGAUUACUACUGUCAGAGUUAUCAUUAUAUCAGUAGUAGCAAUGUGUUCACACAGUGUUAG